CGGCGGCAGCAGGACUUCUCUUUGCAAGAAUUGGGUAUUUUCGGGUAGUGAAAAGUAUGGAUCCCCUCUAUAAGCCCAACCCUAUGCUAGUUACAAUAAAAUACUACCAAAAAUAGGUUUCCUAAUAUCUCUUUGAUUGCUUCUCCAAAUUCCACAAGGAUUUGACCAAACUUCCUCCUUUAAGCUUUGACCGGUUGAUUGCCUUCUAAGAAACAUCUUCUUUGUCUCCAAUUAAUCCUUAUCAUACAUCUUAAUGGUUUUUGAGUCCAAUUUGACAACUUUUCUUCCAAUUCCUCUAAUUAGGGACCAACUACACAAUUCUCACAAAAUACAUUAAACCCAACAAUUUAAUCCAAGAAAAUCAAUAAAUAAAUAAGCAAAGGAGGCAUAACAUAUAUGUAGAAUAGGCUGAAAGGCACAAUAGAAACAGAAACACAGAAACACAGACACAAUAGGCUGAAAGGCAUAAACGCAUAAACGCUCUCUGAGAGAGAGAAGCCGAGAAGCCGAGAAGCCGAGAAGCCGAGAAGCCGAGUCUUGAACUAGAAGGGCAUUUUGGGGAUUAAGAAUAUUGGGUGAACAAAAAUGAGCUUGUACUUGGUUUGACGAGCAUUGCGUGCGUCGG
rnacentral:lncRNA from 1 species